UGGUUCAGUUGGUAGAGCGCUCGACUCGCAUGCGAGAGGUCGCUUGUUCGAUCCCGGCUUU
rnacentral:ncRNA from 14 species